UACGUAGGGGGCUAGCGUUGUUUCGGAAUUACUGGGUGUAAAGGGUUCGUAGGCGGUGCGGCAAGUCGGGGAGUGAAAUCUCUGGGCUUAACCCAGAGGCUGCUUCCGAAACUGCUGUGCUUGAGUGUGGGAGAGGCGCGUGGAAUUGCAGGUGUAGCGGUGAAAUGCGUAGAUAUCGAGAGGAACACCUGCGGCGAAGGCGGCAUCCUGGACCGGCAUUGCGCUGAGGCGCGAAAGCCAGGGGAGCAAACGGG
rnacentral:rRNA from 1 species